rnacentral:rRNA from 1 species
UACGUAGGGGGCAAGCGUUGUCCGGAUUUAUUGGGCGUAAAGAGCGUGUAGGCGGCUUUGCAAGUCCGUUGUGAAAACUCGAGGCUCAACCUCGAGACGCCGGUGGAAACUGCAAAGCUAGAGUCCGGAAGAGGAGAGUGGAAUUCCUGGUUUAGCGGUGAAAUGCGCAGAUAUCAGGAGGAACACCCGUGGCGAAAGCGGCUCUCUGGGACGGUACUGACGCUGAGACGCGAAAGCGUGGGGAGCAAACAGG